rnacentral:misc_RNA from 1 species
GAUGAAGAACGUAGCGAAAUGCGAUAAGUAAUGUGAAUUGCAGAAUUCAGUGAAUCAUCGAAUCUUUGAACGCACAUUGCGCCCGCCAGUAUUCUGGCGGGCAUGCCUGUUCGAGCGUCAUUUCAACCCUCAAGCCCCCGGGCUUGGUGUUGGGGAUCGGCGUGCCCUCGCGGCGCGCCGUCCCCUAAAUCUAGUGGCGGUCUCGCUGUAGCUUCCUCUGCGUAGUAGCAACACUCGCACUGGAUCGCAGCGCGGCCACGCCGUUAAACCCCCCACUUCUGAAAGUUUGACCUCGGAUCAGGUAGGAAUACCCGCUGAACUUAAGCAUAUCAAUAAGCGGGA